rnacentral:sRNA from 1 species
UAGCGCCGCCCUCCUUGGGCGUUUCCUCCCUAGACUCGGGCCGCCUCUCACGAGAGCGGCCCCUUUUUUUGCCCGGG